UACAGAGGUGGCAAGCGUUGUUCGGAAUUACUGGGCGUAAAGGGCGCGUAGGCGGCCAUCUAAGUCAGACGUGAAAUCCCUCGGCUUAACCGGGGAACUGCGUCUGAUACUGGAUGGCUUGAGUUUGGGAGAGGGAUGCGGAAUUCCAGGUGUAGCGGUGAAAUGCGUAGAUAUCUGGAGGAACACCGGUGGCGAAGGCGGCAUCCUGGACCAAGACUGACACUGAAAAGCGAAAGCCAGGGGAGCAAACGGG
rnacentral:rRNA from 1 species